rfam:Schistosoma curassoni strain Dakar, Senegal genome assembly, scaffold: SCTD_scaffold0000485
AUCUAGCUGACGAGUCCCAAAUAGGACGAAACGCUCAUCAAACUGGAU